AGUGAACGUUGGCGGCGUGGAUUAGGCAUGCAAGUCGAGCGAGAACCGUAGCAAUACGGGGCCAGCGGCGAAAGGGACAGUAAUGUGUAGGUCCCUACCUCCGGGUUCGGGAUAGCUGCGGGAAACUGCAGGUAAUACCGAAUAAUGUCUCCGGACCAAAGGUGUGCUUACACCUGGACAGGGGCCUGCAACCUAUUAGCUUGUUGGCGGGGUAACGGCCCACCAAGACGACGAUGGGUAGCGGGUGUGAGAGCACGACCCGCGUCACUGGGACUGAGACGCUGCCCAGACAACUGCGGGUGGCUGCAGUCGUGAAUCUUCGGCAAUGGGCGCAAGCCUGACCGAGCGACGCCGCGUGCGGGAUGAAGGCCUUCGGGUUGUAAACCGCUGUCGUAGAGGAGGAAAUGCAGGGGGGUUCUCCCCUCUGUUUGACCUAUUCUAGGAGGAAGUACGGGCUAAGUUCGUGCCAGCCGCCGCGGUAA
rnacentral:rRNA from 1 species